CUUGUCCCAGGGUAAAAAGACCAAGCAGCCAAAACUCGGAUCCCCCUAGCCAGCCUCAGAAUCCAUACGGACAACCUAUGGCUCCUCCGACUCAGAAUCCCUCUAUGGCUCCUCCAACUCAGAAUCCAUACGGUCAACCUAUGACUCCACCAACUCAGAAUCCAUACGGUCAACCUAUGGCUCCACCAACUCAGAAUCAGAACCCGCCUGGACCAAACCAGAAUCCGAUGACUCCUCCACCUCAGAAUCAGAAUGGUAAUGGGCAGUUUGUGCCUCCUCCCAGUGUAAACCAAGCUCCAAACGACCAGUUUAUGAAUCCCCCAAUGGAGGAUGAGAGUCAAAGAGCUGAAACUGGGAGGGUUGCCAAGAGCCCAUCCUCGUCUGACAUUCUUCGACCUUACCCUGUCUUGUUGUUUCUUGGCCUCAGUCUAACUGCUUUGAGACAAUCGUGCACGACAUGAACCAACACUGUUCUUCCUUUUUAAUGGGAAUUAGUACAUAAGCAACUUCAUUGUCUUCCGAGAGAUUCUGAACUUUAUUGAUCAAAGUCCUUUUUAUUACCUUGAAUUGGAUUCACAACUCAUACAUGUAAAACUUGUCUAUUUCAUGUAUAUAGUAUUGUCUCAACUUGAAUAAAGAAAAUUACAAGUUUUUAAAAAGUAAAUAAAGGGAGAAAUCAAAAUGCAUAACUCAUUUCUUGGGUUUUGUUUUCUUAGGAGCAGAGCUUCUAGCCUUCUUUGCUGGUUGCUGCUUCUCUUUAGAUGGCCUUCCUCUCUUUUUCCCUGCAACCUGCAAACAUUCCACAAAAACUUCCUUCACUGUCAUACAUAUAUAUAUAUUGAUUUCAUGAGGAAUUCUAAGCUUUGCCAACGUACAUUUUCGCCUUUCGCUUUAGCUUUGCCAUUUGCGUUGGUUACCUCCGCUGCACCUCCAGUUUGAUCAGCUGGCUUUGAAGCAGUCUUGCCGUUUUUGUUAGAUUCAUCAUCUGACUCGAACGAGAAUCCCUCCAGAGUGCCUAUAAAUGGUUCACAAAGUUAAGCUGGAGAAGUAAGCAUUUGCGUACAGUCAGAUUACCCGAUCUACAAUAGAGACAGAGAAAACGAUCUGACCUUCCAUCAUUGUUUCUGCUUCAUAGACAUUAGAUUGUGGUGUUAGCUGUAUGAAGUCAUUCAUAAUAGCUUCAAUCUGACAAGCAAACAUAUGAUCCAAAAGUAGGUUGUUACUCCAAUCCAUGUUUUAGUUUCCCAUACAACAGAUAAAAACUAGUUCCCCAAAGAAGUUUAAAGCUUCAAGACAAAGAUCUAUGCGUUGCAAAAUGAAGGAAGCGCAAGAGAAAUAUUACUAACCUUUGCCUCUGACUGGCCAACAUUAACCUGAAACGCAAGAUCUCUGGUGUGAGUAAUUGCAUAUAACAAGUGCCGCCCUUACAAGUUUAAAAGAAGGUACAAGGAAAACAAAAACCGUACAAUGCAAAACGUUCUGGAUGGAACGAUUGUUGAUUUAUAUAUGGUUCCUGAAACAUGAAAUGGUAAAAUGUUAGUGAAGAGACUCCAAUCAUGAACUGAAUCUCUAUCACAUGUUGUGCAAGAGAAAAAAAUACAGAAUCAUUUUGAACAUCAGAAGAAGCAUAAAAAUGAUUGGGGGAACAACAUGCCUUUCAAGUCCAAGUAUACGUCCUCGGUUGUGUCUGAAACAACCACACGCCCAACAGCCCCCAUGUCUCCGCUCAAAUCUAUAGAGUCCCCUUCACAUUCAACCAGUACCUGUAAAAUUGGUUCAAUGCUUUUUUAACAACUGUGCUUUAUCUACAAUUAUACUCUGGUAUGGAUGUAGUUAAGCCGUUCCGCAACAUAAGUGUCACCAGCCGCCAUAGCAAAGAUAUAUAAACGUGGACUGUAAAGCCAGGUGCAAAGGAACAUAUUUGUAUUACCUUUGUGCGAUUCACCUUCUCAGAAAGUACCAAAGGCAACCUUGAACUUGAGCCCUGGAAUUUACAAAUCUGGUCAGUAAGGAAGAACCAGAGAAGAAACAACGAUAGUGGUCAUAGCACAAGAUUCUUACAGAAGAAGGCUUGACAUUCUUAUCCUUUGUUACUUCCUCAGCUACUGUGGCAUCUUUAUCUUUAUCUGCAUGAUAGAGGAACCGUUACAUUGCUCUAGAAUAAUCCUUAAAGUCAAAAAGCUUUGGUUCAAUUCAUACCUUCAGUUUUCAAAAUUUCUUGUGCACUGUCUUCUUUCUUGGGUGACUGGUGGCCACUAUUUGCCUUUUUCUUGGGAGAUUUUUUCUUUGGAGCCUUCUUAACCGCAGGUUCUCCCUCUUUAGCUUGAAUAGCAUUAUCCUCAUCCUUUUCAGUAGCCAUAGUCACUUGCUGACUCAUUGGUUCACUAGAGGGUGGUUCAGAAUCAGAUGAGACAAGCCAUACAUAAUCAUCUCCUUCCUGACAAAGAAAAGAAAAAGAGAAACAGUAUAGCCUGUCAAAUCCAGACCAAACUAAGAAUUAACAUUUCUUUUACAUUACUUAGACAUGUAGAGAACAGAGAAGACACUGCCACAUAAUUACAACAUCACUCAUGCAGCUGGGAAGCUUCUGUGGAGGAGGGUUCAUAACUAACAGAUCACAAUCUCAAAAAAAUAAAAUUUAUUUAUCAAACAGACGCAUGUAAACAAGAAGAGCUCCAUUCACACUACUAAGAAAAGUAGAUUCAGCAAAAGCACAAGCGAGUAUAACAGAGACGGGGUCCAAACGUUUCUUACUUUAGCGUCCUUAUGCUUGCUAGACCAUUCUUCACCAUCAACUUUGCUUCCAUUCUCCUUCUCUGCAAAUUGCUCCCAAGUAAAAAAAAGGCCUUUAGAAGCUCAACAGUUGGAAUACUACUUCCAUACCUUCAAGGUUGACAGUAGCAUCUGCAUUCUUCUUCUUCCUCCUAGAAAACACCUGCUCGAUACUCACUUGGUUUGUCACCAACUUCGCUUUGGAAUCAUUCUUAGACAAAGACUCAGCGGACUCUUUGUCCACAAUAGUCACGGCAUCACCGUCAUCAGGCACAGGAAGAGACGAAAUGGGUUCAGAUUCCCUGGGAGGACUAUCAUCUGGAGAAGAUAGUGAUAACAAUGAAGUGGUGGGUGCCUGCACAACAACAAAAAUGAAAAAGCUUCCACCUUUCAAUCCUGUUCCUGUAAUAAAGCAAACCCAAUACACAAAAAUAGAAUUCAGAAUGAAUCAAAUAAGCAAAACCUGGAAAGAUCGAAGCCAAUCGGGAGAUCCCUCUCUGGAGCUGCUGCUCAUAAUUCACUACUCCAGAUCUCAAAAUUACAGCAAUUCAAGCUUCUCCCGACUUCAAUGUCUGCUCAAUUGAAACAAAAUAAGCUCGUGGAUACAUGCAUUUCUUUCGCAGGUCAAAACCCUAAAAGAGAUCUUAAGAAACCAUAGAUUCGAUGAAAUCGAAGCUCACCUGAAGAAAGCAGAAGUUUAGAAUCUACGAACGUUGAAAUCCGGAGAGGAGAUCUAGAUUGACGGAGGGAGGGAGGGAAGCGAGAGUUUCCGCCGCCGGCGAGAUUGAAGUGUGUGAAAGACGCGGGAAGAUUGGCCACUAAUCGCUUGUUCCGGUUUGGUCCAAACAGAAGAAAACAAGUCUACUUACAUACUAAUCAUUCAUAUAUAUAUGUAUGUAUGUUUCCAAAACUUUUUCAUUCAUAAAAGUUUUUAAAAUCACGUUUCCAUGUUUCGAAACGUUUCGUUUCUGCGUAUCCGUUAUAAAAAGUACCGUACAGAUUUUUGAAAACCAAUUACUAUGGUAUUUCUUUUAUUUUCCUUCUUUAGCAUAUUCUUUUAUUUUAUGGUUAUUUUUUUAUGUCUAACCUUAAAUAUAGUAAGAAACUCUUGCAAUGUCGCACGAAAACUUAUUUAUAAAAAUAGAUAUUCCAUAUUUUAUAAGAUAAUUUUUUAUAAGAAAAACAUUUACAAUUUCUUUUAAAAAAAUAAAUGUGUUACAAAAAUAAGUUAUUUUUUAUAAUAAGAAGGUACGACUCUUUAAACUAAAUAAUUGUAGAAAUAUACUUAUUGGAAUAUUUUAAUUAUUUUUAAACUAAUUUAUUUUUAUAAUGAAAAAACACCACUCUUAAUACUAAUAUAGUUCAGUUUUUUUUUGGUAUGAAAAGAAAUAUCUUUAUUAUAACGAAGAAACACAACUUUUAAAAUUAAUAAAGUUUAGUUUUUCAUGAAAAGAUACCUUUUGAAUAAUGUAAAACACAACUCUUAUAACUAAUACAUUUCAGUUUUUUUUAUAUGAAAAGACUCAUUUUUUAACAUUAUUUCGGAUUAUUAUUACUAGUUUUUUUUUAUAGUGAGAAGACACAACUUUUGAAACUAUUAAUUAUAGAAAGACACCUAUUGAGAUAUAUUAACUACUUUUAAACUAAUUUAUUUUUUAUGAUGAAAAGUUACAACUUAAAACUAAUAGAGUUCAUUUUUCAUAAAAGGACACAAUUUUUAAAAUCAACAGAGUUCAGUUUUUAGUGAAAAGACAUAACUUUUUUUAUAACGAAGAAACACAACUUUUGAAACUAAUAGAGUUCAGUUUGUUUUUAGCGAAAAAAACAUAACUUUUUUUAUAAUGAAGAAACACAACUUUUGAAACUAAUAUAGUUCAUUUUUUUCUGAAAAGACAUGCCUUUCUAAUAUAUUCUAAUAUAUAAAAGCACAAUUCUCAAAACUAAUAUAUUUUAAUUUUUGUGAAAAAACACAACUUUAAAUAUUAAUUAGGACUACUAUUAUUAAUAGAUUUGUCUAUUAUAAUGAAAAUACACAACUUUUGAAACUAAUAAUUGUAGAAAAAACUUAUUAAGAUAUUUUAACUACUUUUAAACUAAUUUCUUUUUUUAUAAUGAAAAGAUGAAACUCUUAAAACUAAUAGAGUUUAAUUUUUUUUGAAAAACCAAAUUUUUAUAAUGAAAAGUAACAACUCUUAAGCUAAUACAUUUCAGUUUUUUUUUAUGAAACAACACAAAUUUUUACAUCAAUUGGGAUUGCUAAUUUCUUAUAAAGAGAAAUAAUUUUCUAAUAUUUUCUAAUAUAUAAAACACACAAAUAUUAAACUAAUACAUUUUAUUUUUAUGAAAAGACACAACUUUUAACAUUAAUUAUUUCUAUUAUUAAUUUGUCUUUUAUAAUGAAAAACACAUAACUUUUAAAACUAAUAAUUAUAGAAAGACACUGAUAGACCAUGGAUUUGACCCAUUUUCAUCCAUGGUUUAUAGGUGUUUUUACUAUCUAUUAUUAUAUUGUAGAGUAUUUAUUAUAUUUAUAAGAUCAGGAGUGAUUUAGAGAUAAGUGAUGAUUUUGGAGCAUUUUGGAGAUAUUUGGAGUAAGCACCUGAGAUGACCAUCGAGCUCGACCAUCGGUCGAUAUUAGAGGAGGAAUAUCGAUUGAUGUUCACACUUGAACAUUGAUCGACAGCGAAGCGCGCAGAAAGGCCGUUUGGUCACAGCCAACUUGAAGCCCAAGAUUUCACCGAUUUACAAGAUUGCAUCUGACGAGUUUUAACCUAACUAUAUAAACUUUGCCACCAUAUUAGAGGCAAAGUGUGAUUUUCUGUGUUUUUAGUUUUAUUACUUUCAGCAAAAGAUUUUAGGAUUGUGAUAGAUUGGAGAGAAAAUCCAAAGUUAUAAUUUGUGAUUGGAACUCCGUUAAUAUCUAUUUUACUAUUUUAUGAAGUUUUCUAACCUAAUUGCUUU
rnacentral:lncRNA from 1 species